rnacentral:rRNA from 1 species
UGGAGCAUGUGGUUUAAUUCGAAGCAACGCGAAGAACCUUACCAGGUCUUGACAUCCGAUGCUAUUUCUAGAGAUAGAAAGUUACUUCGGUACAUCGGUGACAGGUGGUGCGAUGGUUGUCGUCAGCUCGUGUCGUGAGAUGUUGGGUUAAGUCCCGCAACGAGCGCAACCCCUAUUGUUAGUUGCCAUCAUUCAGUUGGGCACGUCUAGCGAGACUGCCGGUAAUAAACCGGAGGAAGUGGGGAUGACGUCAAAUCAUCAUGCCCCUUAUGACCUGGGCUACACACGUGCUACAAUGGUUGGUACAACGAGUUGCGAGUCGGUGACGGCGAGCUAAUCUCUUAAAGCCAAUCUCAGUUCGGAUUGUAGGCUGCAACUCGCCUACAUGAAGUCGGAAUCGCUAGUAAUCGCGGAUCAGCACGCCGCGGUGAAUACGUUCCCGGGCCUU